rnacentral:rRNA from 1 species
AUUGAACGCUGGCGGCAUGCCUUACACAUGCAAGUCGAACGGCAGCAUGGGUGCUUGCACCUGAUGGCGAGUGGCGAACGGGUGAGUAAUACAUCGGAACGUACCCGGAAGUGGGGGAUAACGUAGCGAAAGUUACGCUAAUACCGCAUAUUCUGUGAGCAGGAAAGAGGGGGAUCGCAAGACCUCUCGCUUUCGGAGCGGCCGAUGUCAGAUUAGCUAGUUGGUAGGGUAAAAGCCUACCAAGGCGACGAUCUGUAGCGGGUCUGAGAGGAUGAUCCGCCACACGGGGACUGAGACACGGCCCAGACUCCUACGGGAGGCAGCAGUGGGGAAUUUUGGACAAUGGGGGCAACCCUGAUCCAGCCAUGCCGCGUGAGUGAAGAAGGCCUUCGGGUUGUAAAGCUCUUUCGGCCGGGAAGAAAUCGCACAGGCUAAUACCUUGUGUGGAUGACGGUACCGGAAUAAGAAGCACCGGCUAACUACGUGCCAGCAGCCGCGGUAA